UACGUAGGGUGCGAGCGUUAAUCGGAAUUACUGGGCGUAAAGUGUGCGCAGGCAGCAAAGCAAGUCGAGUGUGAAAGCCCCGGGCUUAACUUGGGAAUUGCGCUCGAAACUACUUUGCUGGAGUGUGGCAGAGGAAGGUGGAAUUCCACGUGUAGCGGUGAAAUGCGUAGAGAUGUGGAGGAACACCAAUGGCGAAGGCAGCCUUCUGGGCCAACACUGACGCUCAUGCACGAAAGCGUGGGGAGCAAACAGG
rnacentral:rRNA from 1 species